UCAAGAUCAAAUGCAUACAUGAGAAUAAGUUUAAGAAUUUCACAGGCUGAAAACAAUUAUGCAGCCAGAGAUAGCUUUUCAAAUAAGGCACUAAGCAAAAAAAAUCAAGUGCUAGAGCUAUCAACAACUGAAGGGUAAUACUCCUUCUGUCCCUUAAAAAUAGACCGAAUUGCCAUUUUGGGAUGUCCACAGACCAAUUCUAUUUAAGGAAAUUUUUUCCUCUCUGAGGGACGGAGGAGGGAGUAUAUUAAAAGAAAGAUUCAUCAGUCCAAAUGCUGAUUAUUGAGAAUGUGAUAAUACUUUCUAUACUGUAAAAACCAGAUGUAAGAGUUCAUCAAGUACUGGACAGUUCAUCAAAUUUUAGCCUAAAACAGAAACUCAGAUUGCAAAUUGUAACCAAAAAAAUUUAUGACAGCAAAGAUAAAAACAAUUAUCAUAGUUU